CGGGGUGUAGCUCAGGUGGCUAGAGUACUUGCUUAGGGAGCAAGGGGUCGUGGGUUCAAGUCCCGUCACUCCGA
rnacentral:tRNA from 2 species